AAUUCUUACUAUCCUUCAAAACCAAGUGAUACUUACCCUCACAGACAUAUUAGAGGACACUUUGAAAAUGCAGAACCCAUCAGAAGACAUUUUAAGAGCAAUUUUGCAGAUGGCCGUUUGCAAUCCCAUUAUAAAUCAGGCUUAGUACAGAAGGGUUUAUAUAUUCAGGCUAAGUACCAGCGGUUACGUUCUGUUGGUGUAAGGGGAUUUACCGCUAAUAAAUUUAGAGAUGGAUUUUUGAGGAAAGAAAAGGGAAAUUUAAAUAUUCCAACAGAAACCUGAACUAAGCUGUGAACCUGAAGUUGAAACAGAAAAUACAGCAAAGAGAGCAUCUGUUCAUUUUUUUGACAACUUUGUGAAGACUAAAAAUAGGAUAAAGGAUCUAACUCUGUAACUUUCUUGAUUAAAAACAACUUUAUUUUUCAGUAGGGGAAUGCUGCAGAACUUUUUUACAGUUUUAAUAAUUGCUUUUAAAGUACAGUAUUCAACUGAAACAUUGUAGUAUGUACCUUUAAUUCCUUUUGCAUACCAGUCUCAAGUAAAGAAGUCAUUGAAGGGAGUCUUAUUUAUUGAAUUCUUUUUCUUCUAAGCGUGAUGUUACAGAUGGAACUUGAGUUGUUAUACUCAGAGGUUUAUAUGCUGAAAGUUUAUUGCUUAUGUAAUUAAAAAAAAGAAAAAAAAAAA